CCGCUUGCAGGGAAACAGAUGGACCCACGAAGUCCAGUUGAUCAUAAAAUUCAUAUCUUCUUAUUUGCUAUAUGUAUGAGUGCUAUAUCUCUUAGUGGAUAUACCUUGUUAUAUUGGUAAAUUAGAUGAUGCAUUUUUUAUGAUCACGAUGGAGCUCUGACUUCUCUAACCUAACUUGAUUGUUUAAGGCAGCAUCGUUUUGUGGUCGAUUGAACUUGUUUUUAAUCAUUUCACUUAACUUUGUUUACACUCAAGUUGAAUAGAGAGGAUGAAUUACUAACAUGUAUGUUAGUUUGAUCAGGUUGUCGAUGGAUCUUCAUCUUCAGGGCAUGGAUGAAUGUAAAACUUUGUCUCUUGUAGUCAAAACUUAUAUUCACUUUCAUGUCCAAUAUGUUGAUGAAGUGAGAUCAAUGAUAAUCCAGAGUAAGUAGGUCGGUCAUCCAUCUGACCCGUCUUGAAACACGGACCAAGGAGCCCAACAACUACGCAAGUCGCUCAGUCUUGUUUAGGCUAGAGAGGCGAAAUAAACAUAAUGGUAUGAUCCUCUUAAAAAGGGCGCAAUACCAACCUGCUUUAUAUGCUUUCCUUGCAUUAAAGUGGCGUUUGAGCGUAAUUGUUGGUACCCGAAAGAUGGUGAACUAUACUUGGGCAAGACGAAGCCAGAGGAAACUCUGGUGGAGGUCUGUAGCGAUUCUGACGUGCAAAUCGAUCGUCAGACCUGAGUAUAGGGGCGAAAGACUAAUCGAACCAUCUAGUAGCUGGUUCCCUCCGAAGUUUCCCUCAGGAUAGCUGGUACUAAUACAAACUCUGUAGCAUCUGGUAAAGCGAAUGAUUAGAGGUAUUGGGAUCGAAACGAUCUCAACCUAUUCUCAAACUUUAAAUGGGUGCGAAGUAUGACUUUUUUUGCUUAAAGCCUUACUUUGUAAGAGGAGUACCAAGUGGGCCAUUUUUGGUAAGCAGAACUGGCGCUGUGGGAUGAACCAAACAUUGAGUUAAGGAACCCAAUGCUGACGCUCAUGAGACCCCAGAAAAGGUGUUGGUUGCUAUAGACAGC
rnacentral:rRNA from 1 species